UACGGAGGGUGCGAGCGUUGUCCGGAAUCACUGGGUGUAAAGGGCGCGUAGGCGGUGCGAGAAGCGUGUGGUGAAAGGCCGGGGCUCAACCCCGGCUCGGCCGUGCGGACUCUCGCGCUUGGUGAGUGCUGUAGAGGCGGGCGGAAUUCCGGGUGUAGCGGUGGAAUGCGUAGAGAUCCGGAAGAACACCGGUGGCGAAGGCGGCCCGCUGGGCAGUGACUGACGCUGAGGCGCGGACAGCGUGGGGAGCAAACAGG
rnacentral:rRNA from 1 species